rnacentral:rRNA from 1 species
UACAGAGGGUGCGAGCGUUGUUCGGAAUUAUUGGGCGUAAAGGGCGCGUAGGCGGCGCCACAAGUCACCUGUGAAAACUCUGGGCUCAACCCAGAGCCUGCAGGCGAAACUGUGGUGCUGGAGUGAUGGGAGAGGUGCGUGGAAUUCCCGGUGUAGCGGUGAAAUGCGUAGAUAGUCGGGAGGAACACCUGUGGCGAAAGCGGGCGCACUGGACCAUAACUGACGCUGAGGCGCGAAAGCUAGGGGAGCAAACAGG